CGGGACUAGAGUUUUUAAAUUAUAAAUCCAGAAGAUUUCUUGUUUAAUACAUUUUUUUAUUUAGAUUCCCUCCAUGAAUCCCAUAAUAUUUGAAAGUUUCUGGAUCACCGUUAUGAUUUUCAAAAAUGUUUAGAGAGAGUAUGGUUCUCAAACUUUCUUUUUAUAUUGUAUGUGUUUUCUUACUCUAGUAUUUAGCAUACAUUUUGUUUGCCCCACAUAUUGGAAACCACACUCGCAUUCUAAUAGAUAUAUUACUUGUUUAGAAUGACAAGGUGCAAUCUUCAAUAUUAUAUUUUUUGUUUGUUUUAUGUGAUUGGAAACUAGUAGUUUUUCCAAAUGGUUGCCCUGUGAUUUUGCAAAUAUUGCACUGUCCACAUUAAAAAAACUUUGUGUUCAUUUAAAAAAUAUUUUUUAUUUUUAUCGGGAGCUUGACAACUAUUUACUACUUUUUUCUUGAUGGUAGAUGCUCCCCUGAAGACUAUCCUAGGUUUAGAGGGUAAGAUUGAAACUAGAAUAGGGUCUUGGAGUAAGAAAUGCCAAUUUUUCUGGAUAAUUCUCUUUAGUUGUGUAGAUUGUGAGCUGUAAUUAAAAAAAGAGAGGGCAAUUAAAAUUCUUGUCAGGUUUUUUUUUGUUACGAGGUAAUAAUAAUUAUUGUCUGUCCAGGCUAUUAACUGUCUGUACAGAUCAGUUAAGAAGUUCAAUAUCAUAUUCUUUAUCUUCAAAUAGUUUUUUUACUUUUUCAGUUUGUGUUCAGCACACUGCCACAUCUGAGCAGUUUUCCUUAAUCCUCUGAAAUUGUCCUAGAGGAACGUUAUUUAGCCGGAGAGGAGAGGGGGGGGUUAUGACAACUUAAAUGUAAAAUAAAGCAUUUACAUCAACACUUUUGAAAAGUUUUAGUUUUUAAAACAUUUUGUUCUACAUAGAGCACUAUCUUUGUGCUGUUGUACUUAUAGGUAAAAGACAAAUUAAAAUCAUUG